rnacentral:rRNA from 1 species
CCACUCUAAUCAGUGAAACUGAUCUUCCCGUGAAGAAGCGGGAAUAUACAUAUAAGACGAGAAGACCCCAUGGAGCUUUAAACCCAACAGCACCUAUUCUUUUUAAAUCCACUUAUUCUUAUAGUAAGUGCUUGCUUGGUUUUAGGUUGGGGUGACCGCGGAGUAAAAAUGAGCCUCCACGAAAAAAGGCAUAAAAGCCUUAUCAAAGAAUCACACUUCUAUGAAUUAGUAAACUAAUUUUUGAUGAUCCGAUAUUCGAUCAACGAACCAAGUUACCCUGGGGAUAACAGCGCAAUCCACCUCAAGAGCUCCUAUCGACAAGUGGGUUUACGACCUCGAUGUUGGAUCAGGGUACCCCAGUGGUGCAGCAGCUACUAAAGGUUCGUUUGUUCAACGAUUAAAACCCU